CGGCGGACGGGUGAGUAACACGUGGGUAACCUACCUAUAAGACUGGGACAACUUCGGGAAACCGGAGCUAAUACCGGAUAAGAUAUCGAACCGCAUGGUUCGAUAGUGAAAGAUGGUUUUGCUAUCACUUAUAGAUGGACCCGCGCCGUAUUAGCUAGUUGGUGAGGUAACGGCUCACCAAGGCAACGAUACGUAGCCGACCUGAGAGGGUGAUCGGCCACACUGGAACUGAGACACGGUCCAGACUCCUACGGGAGGCAGCAGGU
rnacentral:rRNA from 1 species